GUUUCAAUUCCUCAUAGGCAGGCUAUCGGCUGAAACAUUGCGGUCCCGCCCGCGCGUGGCAAGAUUG
rnacentral:sRNA from 1 species